rfam:Gossypium raimondii Chr04_contig_703, whole genome shotgun sequence.
GUUGAGGGGAAUGUUGCCUGGUUCAAGGACACCUUUUCUUGCUAACCCUAAAUUUCCAUCUGUGCUCUUGGACCAGGCUUCAUUCCCCUUAAU